UACAGAGGGGGCAAGCGUUAUUCGGAAUUAUUGGGCGUAAAGCGCGCGUAGGCGGCCUCAUAAGUCCGUUGUGAAAGUCAAAGGCUCAACCUUUGAAAGCCGAUGGAUACUGUGAGGCUAGAGUUCGGAAGAGGCGAGUGGAAUUCCUGGUGUAGCGGUGGAAUGCGCAGAUAUCAGGAGGAACACCAGUGGCGAAGGCGGCACUCUGGGCCGGUACUGACGCUGAGGAGCGAAAGCGUGGGGAGCGAACAGG
rnacentral:rRNA from 1 species